UACGAAGGGUGCAAGCGUUAAUCGGAAUUACUGGGCGUAAAGGGUGCGUAGGCGGUUCGUUAAGUCUGUCGUGAAAUCCCCGGGCUCAACCUGGGAAUGGCGAUGGAUACUGGCGAGCUAGAGUGUGUCAGAGGAUGGUGGAAUUCCCGGUGUAGCGGUGAAAUGCGUAGAGAUCGGGAAGAACACCAGUGGCGAAGGCGGCCCGCUGGGCAGUGGCUGACGCUGAAGCGCGACAGCGUGGGGAGCAAACAGG
rnacentral:rRNA from 1 species